AUGGCGACCCAGAUCAGCAAGAAGAAGAAGUUUGUGAGCGAUGGCGUUUUCUACGCCGAGCUGAACGAGAUGCUGACCCGGGAGCUUGCCGAGGACGGCUACUCCGGCGUGGAGGUGCGCGUGACGCCGAUGCGCACGGAGAUCAUCAUCAGGGCCACGCGGACGCAGAACGUGCUUGGUGAGAAGGGCCGCAGGAUCAGGGAGCUCACCUCCGUCGUCCAGAAGCGCUUCAACUUCCCGGAGAACGGCGUUGAGCUUUACGCCGAGAAGGUCGUCAACCGUGGCCUCUGCGCCAUCGCCCAGGCUGAGUCACUCCGCUACAAGCUCCUCGGAGGCCUUGCCGUCCGCAGGGCAUGCUAUGGUGUUCUUCGCUUUGUUAUGGAGAGUGGUGCUAAGGGUUGUGAGGUCAUUGUGAGCGGCAAGCUCAGGGCCCAGAGAGCCAAGUCGAUGAAGUUCAAGGACGGGUACAUGAUCUCAUCUGGUCAGCCCGUCAACGAGUACAUUGAUGCUGCAGUUAGGCACGUUCUUCUCAGACAGGGCGUUCUUGGUAUCAAGGUGAAGAUUAUGCUUGACUGGGACCCCAAGGGCAAGCUUGGCCCUACCACCCCGCUGCCUGACCUCGUCACCAUCCACCCCCCUAAGGAGGAGGACGAGCUGCGCCCCCCUGCUUUGGUUGAGGUCUGA
rnacentral:rRNA from 1 species